GCAAAGGAAAUAGAAAAGGGUGUGUAAGUUUUUAUCAAACAAGAUAAAACUUGCACCUCAUAACUGCUAUAAAAGAAUGAGACAGGUUGGCGCGAGCAGGCAAUAUAUGGAUUACAAAUACAGUAGUUGACCUUUUUUAAGUGCAAACUGUUUUUUUUUAUAGACUGGAAACAAGCUCCAAUAAUAUAUUUCACAAUCACCUGACUACAUUUUGCUCACUUAUAGAACAGUUCUAAAAAUUGAUGCCUAGCUAGAAUAGCUUUGAAACAAAACACA